rnacentral:rRNA from 1 species
UACAGAGGUCUCAAGCGUUGUUCGGAUUCAUUGGGCGUAAAGGGUGCGUAGGCGGCGCGGUAAGUCGGGUGUGAAAUCUCGGGGCUUAACUCCGAAACUGCAUUCGAUACUGCCGUGCUUGAGGACUGGAGAGGAGACUGGAAUUUAAGGUGUAGCGGUGAAAUGCGUAGAUAUCGUAAGGAAGACCAGUGGCGAAGGCGGGUCUCUGGACAGUUCCUGACGCUGAGGCACGAAGGCCAGGGGAGCAAACGGG